rnacentral:rRNA from 1 species
CGAAAGCCUGACGGAGCAAGACCGCGUGAGGGAGGAAGGCUCUUGGGUUGUAAACCUCUUUUCUCAGGGAAGAACUUCAUGACGGUACCUGAGGAAUCAGCCUCGGCUAACUCCGUGCCAGCAGCCGCGGUAAUACGGAGGAUGCAAGCGUUAUCCGGAAUGAUUGGGCGUAAAGCGUCCGCAGGUGGCUGUGUAAGUCUGCUGUUAAAGAGCAAAGCUUAACUUUGUAAAAGCAGUGGAAACUACACGGCUAGAGGGCGUUCGGGGCAGAGGGAAUUCCUGGUGUAGCGGUGAAAUGCGUAGAGAUCAGGAAGAACACCGGUGGCGAAGGCGCUCUACUGGACCUCAUCUGACACUGAGGGACGAAAGCUAGGGGAGCG